rnacentral:rRNA from 1 species
UUGUAUAAAUAAAAGAUCUGGCCUGCCCAAUGAUUGUUUUAAUGGCUGCAGUAUAUUGACUGUACAAAGGUAGCAUAAUCAUUUGUCCUUUAAUUGAGGUCUGGAAUGAAUGGUUGGAUGAAAAGUAGACUUUCCUUGUUUUUAUAGAUAAAAUUUAAUUUCUGAAUUAAAAAGUUUAGAUGUUGGUAGAGGACGAGAAGACCCUAUAGAGCUUUAUCCUGCUUGAUAUAAUUAUUUGCUUGCAAAUAAUUAUAUAUUAUAUUAAGUAGUAUUUUGUUGGGGUGACAAAAAAAACUUAAUAACUUUUUUUACUUGAAUUAUUUAUUUAUAAGUUUUUGACCCUUUAUUAUGGGUAAAAGACUAAGCUACCUUAGGGAUAACAGCGUUAUUAUUUUAGAGAGUUCAUAUUGAUAAAAUAGUUUGCGACCUCGAUGUUGGAUUAAAAUUAGUUUCAGGGGCAGAAUAUUGAUUUACUAGGUCUGUUCGACCUUUAAAUUUU